rnacentral:rRNA from 1 species
AUUGAACGCUGGCGGCAGGCCUAACACAUGCAAGUCGAGCGAGCGGCGGACGGGUGAGUAAUGUAUGGGAAACUGCCUGAUGGAGGGGGAUAACUACUGGAAACGGUAGCUAAUACCGCAUACCAUCAGAUGUGCCCAGAUGGGAUUAGCUAGUAGGUGGGGUAACGGCUCACCUAGGCGACGAUCCCUAGCUGGUCUGAGAGGAUGACCAGCCACACUGGAACUGAGACACGGUCCAGACUCCUACGGGAGGCAGCAGUGGGGAAUUUUGCACAAUGGGCGCAACCCUGAUGCAGCCAUGCCGCGUGUGUGAUGAAGGCCUUCGGGUUGUAAAGCACUUUUGGCAGGGAAGCGUUACCUGCAGAAGAAGCACCGGCUAACUCCGUGCCAGCCGCCGCGGUAAUUC